rnacentral:rRNA from 1 species
CCUACGGGAGGCAGCAGUGAGGAAUAUUGGUCAAUGGACGCAAGUCUGAACCAGCCAAGCCGCGUGCAGGAUGACGGCUCUAUGAGUUGUAAACUGCUUUUGUACGAGGGUAAACACCGAUACGUGUAUCGGGUUGAAAGUAUCGUACGAAUAAGGAUCGGCUAACUCCGUGCCAGCAGCCGCGGUAAUACGGAGGAUCCGAGCGUUAUCCGGAGUUAUUGGGUUUAAAGGGUGCGUAGACGGUUUGAUAAGUUAGAUGUGAAAUGUCGGGGCUCAACCCCAAAACUGACUUUGAUACUGUUGGACUAGAGAAUAGUUGCGGUAGGCGGAAUGUAUGGUGUAGCGGUGAAAUGCUUAGAGAUCAUGAAGAACACCGAUUGCGAAGGCAGCUUACCAGACUGUAUCUGACGUUGAGGCACGAAAGCGUGGGUAGCAAACAGGAUUAGAUACCCCGGUAGUC